rnacentral:lncRNA from 1 species
AUGGAUACGGCCAUGGCAGUUGCGGAGAAAUAGUUAAACAUUUCCUGUAGCAGCUUAGGACAGUACAGUUUGUGAGUUAACAGAUCAGGGUGAGCCUCAGUGUUUCCUGGUGUACUGUACUCAUCCGCCAACUUAGGACAGCUGUUUAGUGAUCGCAGAGGUGCAACACCCGUUUCAGAGCCAUUUACAUCAUUUAGUGAGGAUUCCUGUGUCUGACAGUACUGAACCUGAGGAAUUUCACCCAUUUUUGAGCAGAGACCAGGUGUGCAGUAUCAACACCUUUUUAGUUACAUUUUGACAUGAAUUGUUGGAGAGAAC